CAUUAUUCGGGGCGUUGAGGGCGAAUCGCGUUUGUAGGUUGUGGAUCCGCUUGGAGAUUAAGCUUGAAAACAUGACGUCGCCAGCAAAAUUCAAAAAGGAUAAGGAGAUCAUCGCUGAAUAUGACACUCAGGUGAAAGGAAUCUUUGCAGAAUCUGUGCGGUGUCAGAAGAGCCUCUUUCAGCCAGCGGUAACUGGGACUUUGCCGAGGGUCCCUGCAAGGCAAUUUGUGCUGGAAAGUUCCAUUUAUUCGAGCUUUUGCUCUUGCUCAGCCCCUAACAUUGCUGCCUGCUCUCCUCCCUGUGCUCUUGAGUGCAACGCCUCAAGGUUGCAGUGUGUGCAUGCACAAGCAGACAGUUGCAUGCGGGCAGAGCCGAAGAAAGCUGAUGCUCCAAUGUUACUCCAAUAUCAUUGCAGGGAAGGUAAUAAAGCAGCAGAGGCAUAUUUGCAAUGAUUGUGCAAAUCUUCCGCAGAAUUCAGCUGGCUGGGCUUCAGGCCCAUCAUGUGCCAAAGGGGGAAAGGAAAAAAAAAAAAGAA